GGAGAUCACUCCUUUUGGAGUCCUUCUGUGAGCCCUGGAAACAGUUUAUCUUCUUGAUCAAACUGUCCCUGCAAGAGCUGCUGUCUGUGUCUUACCAGGGCUUUAAAGUACUGUAGGGAUUGCUUCCGUCCCUGAGCUGCUGCUCUGGUAAAACAAGGAAACACUGGAAACAAGCUGCAGGAAUGACAACUGGCUGGAAACAACAACAGCACUGGAAACAAGACACCAUUCCAACAGUUCUUUUUAUUUCGAAGUGUGUGCUGAGAUGGUCCGAUUCAAGGACCCGCUGCAAGCAUUGCUGUUCACUCUUUCAGCAGCCCCAUUAGGACUGAGCAAUACAAGCUUGCAGAACAUGUUACAGAUAGUAGCCACAACAUCUGUAAAUAGGCCAAAAAGAGUAUUUGUUAAACAGUUGUGUAGCAACACAGCAUUGAACUCAGGAUUAAGUUCGCUACUUUCUAGCCUAGUUCUCUUGAUGAACGUAUAUAUUUUUUCAGAUACAAUUUUGUCUGGAAAUGUUAUGUUUAUACUCAUGCUUUCUGCAUCUGUCAAUUAUACAGUGAACAAAUGUAAUGUUAUACUGUCAGGAACUAGAAUUGUUUGUCACUAUUAUAAGUAAGUAAUAGUUACUGGUAUGCAAAAUCUGCUAGUAGUAAUGUCAACUUGCAGCAAAUGUAUUAUAGCCUCUCUACCAUAUGUAAUGAUUGUAUUAUAAUAAUUUCCUCAGUUUUCCCAGAUGCAUAAGAGUGAUUAUAAUACCACUUGUUACAAAAGCUAAGGAAUUUGCUAAUAAAAAUGAACUCUAGACAUUGAUUCAUAG
rnacentral:lncRNA from 1 species